rnacentral:lncRNA from 1 species
UUGUUAGGGUGACAGUGAUUCUGAUACUUGUUCGUUGUUCAACUUUUCUUUCUUGUUGUUUUCUUUAGCAGGUGGUUGUGAUUCUUCUUCUGGUGUUGGUUCAAACUUUUGUUCAUCUGGGGGUUAGGACUAGGAGUUGAAUCUGAAGAGAAUUCAUGUUUGUUAAGUGCUUGUUGAAUAAGUUGUUUCAGCUCUUGAGUCACAUAUCCACAUCAUCAGAUAACAUGCCAUUUAG